rnacentral:rRNA from 1 species
GAUGAACGCUGGCGGCGUGCCUAAUACAUGCAAGUCGAGCGAACGGACGAGAAGCUUGCUUCUCUGAUGUUAGCGGCGGACGGGGGAGUAACACGUGGAUAACCUACCUAUAAGACUGGGAUAAAUUCGGGAAACCGGAGCUAAUACCGGGUAAUAUUUUGAACCGCAUGGUUCAAAAGUGAAAGACGGUCUUGCUGUCACUUAUAGAUGGAUCCGCGCUGCAUUAGCUAGUUGGUAAGGUAACGGCUUACCAAGGCAACGAUGCAUAGCCGACCUGAGAGGGUGAUCGGCCACACUGGAACUGAGACACGGUCCAGACUCCUACGGGAGGCAGCAGUAGGGAAUCUUCCGCAAUGGGCGAAAGCCUGACGGAGCAACGCCGCGUGAGUGAUGAAGGUCUUCGGAUCGUAAAACUCUGUUAUUAGGGAAGAACAUAUGUGUAAGUAACUGUGCACAUCUUGACGGUACCUAAUCAGAAAGCCACGGCUAACUACGUG